CGCGGCCUACGGGAGGCAGCAGUGAGGAAUAUUGGUCAAUGGUCGGGAGACUGAACCAGCCAAGCCGCGUGAGGGAGGAAGGUACAGAGUAUCGUAAACCUCUUUUGUCAGGGAACAAAGGCGGGGACGUGUCCCCGGAUGAGUGUACCUGAAGAAAAAGCAUCGGCUAACUCCGUGCCAGCAGCCGCGGUAAUACGGAGGAUGCGAGCGUUAUCCGGAUUUAUUGGGUUUAAAGGGUGCGCAGGCGGCCUGUUAAGUCAGCGGUAAAAGCCCGGGGCUCAACCCCGGCGAGCCGUUGAAACUGG
rnacentral:rRNA from 1 species